AGAGUUUGAUCCUGGCUCAGAACGAACGCUGGCGGCAGUAACACAUGCAAGUCGAACGCACCUUCGGGUGAGUGGCAGACGGGUGAGUAACGCGUGGGAACGUGCCCUUCAGUUCGGAAUAACCCAGGGAAACUUGGGCUAAUACCGGAUACGUGCGAGAGCAGAAAGAUUUAUCGCUGAAGGAUCGGCCCGCGUCUGAUUAGCUAGUUGGUGGGGUAAUGGCCCACCAAGGCGACGAUCAGUAGCUGGUCUGAGAGGAUGAUCAGCCACAUUGGGACUGAGACACGGCCCAAACUCCUACGGGAGGCAGCAGUGGGGAAUAUUGGACAAUGGGCGCAAGCCUGAUCCAGCCAUGCCGCGUGAGUGAUGAAGGCCUUAGGGUUGUAAAGCUCUUUCGGCGGGGACGAUAAUGACGGUACCCGCAGAAGAAGCCCCGGCUAACUUCGUGCCAGCAGCCGCGGUAAUACGAAGGGGGCUAGCGUUGUUCGGAAUCACUGGGCGUAAAGGGCGCGUAGGCGGCUUGAUAAGUCGGGGGUGAAAGCCUGUGGCUCAACCACAGAAUUGCCUUCGAUACUGUCUGGCUUGAGACCGGAAGAGGUAAGUGGAACUGCGAGUGUAGAGGUGAAAUUCGUAGAUAUUCGCAAGAACACCAGUGGCGAAGGCGGCUUACUGGUCCGGUUCUGNNGCUGAGGCGCGAAAGCGUGGGGAGCAAACAGGAUUAGAUACCCUAGUAGUCC
rnacentral:rRNA from 1 species